rnacentral:rRNA from 1 species
CCUACGGGUGGCAGCAGUGGGGGAUAUUGCACAAUGGGGGAAACCCUGAUGCAGCGACGCCGCGUGUGGGAAGACGGUCCUCUGGAUUGUAAACCACUGUCCCCAGGGACGAAGAUGACGGUACCUGGGGAGGAAGCUCCGGCUAACGACGUGCCAGCAGCCGCGGUAAUACGUAGGGAGCAAGCGUUGUCCGGAAUUACUGGGUGUAAAGGGAGCGUAGGCGGGAUGGCAAGUUGGGUGUUAAAUCUACGGGCUCAACUGGUAGUCGCACUCAAAACUGCUAUUCUUGAGUGAAGUAGAGGCAGGCGGAAUGCGUGGUGUAGCGGUGAAAUGCGUAGAUAUUAGGAGGAACACCGGUGGCGAAGGCGGCCUGCUGGGCUUUUACUGACGCUGAGGCUCGAAAGUGUGGGGAGCGAACAGGAUUAGAUACCCCAGUAGUC